rnacentral:rRNA from 1 species
CUACCCUUGACAUGUCUGGAACCCCGCAGAGAUGUGGGAGUGCCCGAAAGGGAGCCAGAACACAGGUGCUGCAUGGCUGUCGUCAGCUCGUGUCGUGAGAUGUUGGGUUAAGUCCCGCAACGAGCGCAACCCUUGUCAUUAGUUGCUACAUUUAGUUGGGCACUCUAAUGAGACUGCCGGUGACAAACCGGAGGAAGGUGGGGAUGACGUCAAGUCCUCAUGGCCCUUAUGGGUAGGGCUACACACGUCAUACAAUGGCUGGUACAGAGAGCUGCCAACCCGCGAGGGGGAGCUAAUCCCAUAAAACCAGUCGUAGUCCGGAUCGCAGUCUGCAACUCGACUGCGUGAAGUCGGAAUCGCUAGUAAUCGCGG